UUACGGUCAUAUCAUGUUGAAAUACCCUUUUUCGUACGAUCGCCGAAGUUAAGCAACGUCGGUCAUGGUUAGUACAUAGAUGGGUGACCGCUUGGGAACACCAGGUACUAU